rnacentral:rRNA from 1 species
CACAUGCAAGUCGAACGAAGUUAGGAAGCUUGCUUCUGAUACUUAGUGGCGGACGGGUGAGUAAUGCUUAGGAAUCUGCCUAGUAGUGGGGGAUAACUUGGGGAAACCUAAGCUAAUACCGCAUACGACCUACGGGUGAAAGGGGGCGCAAGCUCUCGCUAUUAGAUGAGCCUAAGUCGGAUUAGCUAGUUGGUGGGGUAAAGGCCUACCAAGGCGACGAUCUGUAGCUGGUCUGAGAGGAUGAUCAGCCACACUGGGACUGAGACACGGCCCAGACUCCUACGGGAGGCAGCAGUGGGGAAUAUUGGACAAUGGGCGAAAGCCUGAUCCAGCCAUGCCGCGUGUGUGAAGAAGGCCUUUUGGUUGUAAAGCACUUUAAGUGGGGAGGAAAAGCUUAUGGUUAAUACCCAUAAGCCCUGACGUUACCCACAGAAUAAGCACCGGCUAACUCUGUGCCAGCAGCCGCGGUAAUACAGAGGGUGCAAGCGUUAAUCGGAAUUACUGGGCGUAAAGCGCGCGUAGGUGGUUAUUUAAGUCAGAUGUGAAAGCCCCGGGCUUAACCUGGGAACUGCAUCUGAUACUGGAUAACUAGAGUAGGUGAGAGGGGAGUAGAAUUCCAGGUGUAGCGGUGAAAUGCGUAGAGAUCUGGAGGAAUACCGAUGGCGAAGGCAGCUCCCUGGCAUCAUACUGACACUGAGGUGCGAAAGCGUGGGUAGCAAACAGGAUUAGAUACCCUGGUAGUCCACGCCGUAAACGAUGUCUACCAGUCGUUGGGUCUUUUAAAGACUUAGUGACGCAGUUAACGCAAUAAGUAGACCG